rnacentral:rRNA from 1 species
CAAUAGCGUAUAUUAAAGUUGUUGCAGUUAAAAAGCUCGUAGUUGAAUUUCUGGUUGAAGCGACCGGUCGGGCGUUGAUUCGUCUGCACUGGAGUCGGUUUUGGCCAUCCUCUAGGAAAGUGCGUCUGGUAUUAAGUUAUCGGGCGUAUGAUCCUGGUCUUUUACUGUGAAAAAAUUAGAGUGUUUAAAGCAGGCCUUCGCCUUGAAUACAUUAGCAUGGAAUAAUAAGAUAGGACUUUGGUCUAUUUUGUUGGUUUGCAGACCGAAGUAAUGAUUAAUAGGGAUAGUUGGGGGUAUUUAUAUUCCGAUGUCAGAGGUGAAAUUCUUAGAUUUUCGGAAGAUAAACUUAUGCGAAAGCAUUUACCAAGGAUGUUUUCAUUAA